CACCAGUUUACAUGCGACAGAAGACGGAGGUGAAAGUGACACCUGACAUCCGUGACGCAGGUCUGGGCGCGUGCGUGGAGCAGGGCGUCUGGUCCUUGCCCCGCCGGUCAGUCAGGGCGGGUCAGGAUCUAACGCAGUUCUACAUCGUUGGAUUUGUGGUGUUUGUUUGAGGAUUCCUAGUGUAAUAGAAGGGGAGGACGGUGACGAGAAGAGCAUUGGAGUAUUUCAAGGGCCUCUGUCGACGGUGGACGCGGUGGACGGCACGCCAGAGCACCUCCCCUGCCUGGCCGCCCACAGCAGGCCCGGCGACGCCCCCGUGCUGGUGGUGUGGUGCAGGGACGGCUCGCGUAGGCAUCUCAAGGGGGUCAUCAAGGGGACCCGUUUUGAAGACGUGGACGACAUCAAAAAGGCCGUGAUGACGGAGCUGCGGAGGAUCCCGGAAGAAUCCUUCCAGGAGUGCAUGCAGGCGUGGCAGAGAAGGAUAGGAAAGUGCGUUAGACUCCAGGGGGAUUACUUCCAAGGGGAAAACUUGUAGUUUGGAUUCAAAAUAAAUCUUUUGUGACACCAGUCCUGGAACU